UGUAGCUCAUUGGUAGGGCAUCUGGUUGUAACCGAACAGGUAGUCAGUUCGAUUCUGACC
rnacentral:ncRNA from 15 species